rnacentral:rRNA from 1 species
UACGUAGGGUGCAGGCGUUAAUCGGAAUUACUGGGCGUAAAGCGUGCGCAGGCGGUUUGCUAAGACAGGUGUGAAAUCCCCGGGCUUAACCUGGGAACUGCGCUUGUAACUGGCAAGCUAGAGUGUGGCAGAGGGGGGUGGAAUUCCACGUGUAGCAGUGAAAUGCGUAGAGAUGCGGAGGAACACCGAUGGCGAAGGCAGCCCCCUGGGCUAACACUGACGCUGAGGCACGAAAGCGUGGGGAGCAAACAGG